GAUGAACGCUGGCGGCGUGCCUAAUACAUGUAAGUCGAACGCAUAGCGAAAGGUGCUUGCACCUUUCAAGUGAGUGGCGAACGGGUGAGUAACACGUGGACAACCUGCCUCAAGGCUGGGGAUAACAUUUGGAAACAGAUGCUAAUACCGAAUAAAACUUAGUGUCGCAUGACACAAAGUUAAAAGGCGCUUCGGCGUCACCUAGAGAUGGAUCCGCGGUGCAUUAGUUAGUUGGUGGGGUAAAGGCCUACCAAGACAAUGAUGCAUAGCCGAGUUGAGAGACUGAUCGGCCACAUUGGGACUGAGACACGGCCCAAACUCCUACGGGAGGCUGCAGUAGGGAAUCUUCCACAAUGGGCGAAAGCCUGAUGGAGCAACGCCGCGUGUGUGAUGAAGGCUUUCGGGUCGUAAAGCACUGUUGUAUGGGAAGAACAGCUAGAAUAGGAAAUGAUUUUAGUUUGACGGUACCAUACCAGAAAGGGACGGCUAAAUACGUG
rnacentral:rRNA from 1 species